AGGAUGAACGCUAGCUACAGGCUUAACACAUGCAAGUCGAGGGGCAUCAGGAAGAAAGCUUGCUUUCUUUGCUGGCGACCGGCGCACGGGUGAGUAACACGUAUCCAACCUGCCCUUUACUCGGGGAUAGCCUUUCGAAAGAAAGAUUAAUACCCGAUAGCAUAAUGAUUCCGCAUGGUUUCAUUAUUAAAGGAUUCCGGUAAAGGAUGGGGAUGCGUUCCAUUAGGUUGUUGGUGAGGUAACGGCUCACCAAGCCUUCGAUGGAUAGGGGUUCUGAGAGGAAGGUCCCCCACAUUGGAACUGAGACACGGUCCAAACUCCUACGGGAGGCAGCAGUGAGGAAUAUUGGUCAAUGGGCGCUAGCCUGAACCAGCCAAGUAGCGUGAAGGAUGAAGGCUCUAUGGGUCGUAAACUUCUUUUAUAUAAGAAUAAAGUGCAGUAUGUAUACUGUUUUGUAUGUAUUAUAUGAAUAAGGAUCGGCUAACUCCGUGCCAGCAGCCGCGGUAAUACGGAGGAUCCGAGCGUUAUCCGGAUUUAUUGGGUUUAAAGGGAGCGUAGGUGGACUGGUAAGUCAGUUGUGAAAGUUUGCGGCUCAACCGUAAAAUUGCAGUUGAUACUGUCAGUCUUGAGUACAGUAGAGGUGGGCGGAAUUCGUGGUGUAGCGGUGAAAUGCUUAGAUAUCACGAAGAACUCCGAUUGCGAAGGCAGCUCACUGGACUGCAACUGACACUGAUGCUCGAAAGUGUGGGUAUCAAACAGGAUUAGAUACCCUGGUAGUCCACACAGUAAACGAUGAAUACUCGCUGUUUGCGAUAUACAGUAAGCGGCCAAGCGAAAGCAUUAAGUAUUCCACCUGGGGAGUACGCCGGCAACGGUGAAACUCAAAGGAAUUGACGGGGGCCCGCACAAGCGGAGGAACAUGUGGUUUAAUUCGAUGAUACGCGAGGAACCUUACCCGGGCUUAAAUUGCAGUGGAAUGAUGUGGAAACAUGUCAGUGAGCAAUCACCGCUGUGAAGGUGCUGCAUGGUUGUCGUCAGCUCGUGCCGUGAGGUGUCGGCUUAAGUGCCAUAACGAGCGCAACCCUUAUCUUUAGUUACUAACAGGUUAUGCUGAGGACUCUAGAGAGACUGCCGUCGUAAGAUGUGAGGAAGGUGGGGAUGACGUCAAAUCAGCACGGCCCUUACGUCCGGGGCUACACACGUGUUACAAUGGGGGGUACAGAAGGCAGCUAGCGGGUGACCGUAUGCUAAUCCCAAAAGCCUCUCUCAGUUCGGAUCGAAGUCUGCAACCCGACUUCGUGAAGCUGGAUUCGCUAGUAAUCGCGCAUCAGCCACGGCGCGGUGAAUACGUUCCCGGGCCUUGUACACACCGCCCGUCAAGCCAUGGGAGCCGGGGGUACAUGAAGUACGUAACCGCAAGGAUCGUCCUAGGGUAAAACUGG
rnacentral:rRNA from 1 species